AUCUCUCCAUUCCCAACCAUUGGAGAUUUUACAGAAGGAAACCACACAGCCUGGCUCACAGCAAGACAGCUGACAAGAUGGCUGACCACAGAAACUGGAAGCAAAGGAAGAGGCAGGUGUCUCUGACAUUUGCUUGUGGAUCAAGAUGUGAGCUCUCAGCUGCUCCAGCCACCAUUCCUUUCUUCUGCCACCAUGGACUCAAACCCUCUGGAAACCUAAGCCCAAAUUAAAUGCUUCCUUUUAUAA